rnacentral:rRNA from 1 species
UACGUAGGGUGCAGGCGUUAAUCGGAAUUACUGGGCGUAAAGCGUGCGCAGGCGGUCUGCUAAGAGAGAUGUGAAAUCCCCGGGCUUAACCUGGGAACUGCGUUUCUAACUGGCAGGCUUGAGUGUGGCAGAGGGGGGUGGAAUUCCACGUGUAGCAGUGAAAUGCGUAGAGAUGUGGAGGAACACCGAUGGCGAAGGCAGCCCCCUGGGACCUGACUGACGCUCAUGUACGAAAGCGUGGGGAGCAAACAGG